rnacentral:rRNA from 1 species
UUUCCUAGAGAUGGAUUGGUGGCCUUCGGGAACGUCUGACACAGGUGCUGCAUGGCUGUCGUCAGCUCGUGUCGUGAGAUGUUGGGUUAAGUCCCGUAACGAGCGCAACCCUUGUCCUUAGUUACCAGCACGUUAUGGUGGGCACUCUAAGGAGACUGCCGGUGCAAACCGGAGGAAGGUGGGGAUGACGUCAAGUCAUCAUGGCCUUACGGCCUGGGCUACACACGUGCUACAAUGGUCGGUACAAAGGGUUGCCAAGCCGCGAAGUGGAGCUAAUCCCAUAAAACCGAUCGUAGUCCGGAUCGCAGUCUGCAACUCGACUGCGUGAAGUCGGAAUCGCUAGUAAUCGUGAAUCAGAAUGUCACGGUGAAUACGUUCCCGGGCCUU